UGAUCUCACGGUCAUACAAGCUACACAGGUACGGCCAACUGAAUGAUCUCAUGGUCAUACAAGCUACACAGGUAAGGCCAACUGAAUGAUCUCACGGUCAUACAAGCUACACAGGUAAGGCCACCUGAAUGAUCUCACGGUCAUACAAGC